rnacentral:rRNA from 1 species
AACGAACGCUGGCGGCAUGCCUAACACAUGCAAGUCGAACGCAUGUAGCAAUACAUGAGUGGCGAACGGGUGAGUAACGCGUGGGAACCUGCCUAGUGGUAGGGAAUAACCGCGGGAAACUGCGGCUAAUACCCUAUGAGCCCUCCGGGGAAGAUUUAUCGCCAUUAGAGGGCCCGGCGUCGGAUUAGCUAGUUGGUGGGGUAACGGCCCACCAAGGCGACGAUCCGUAGCUGGUCNGAGAGGA